GGGUCUAACGGGAAGGGCCUGAGAAGGGGUCUCAGCUGGGUAAGAGGCGUUCUUCCCAGGGAAAGUGACUGUUACAAAAAUAACUGUGCCCCGGAGCUGAGCCGAGAGGGACUUGGGUCCAGUGAGGGAGAACUGGGGCAAACAAAGAAAGCUUCCCUAUCUAGAAGCUAAGUUAGUUGGGGAAAUGGAGGCAGGCAUGGUGUCCGUUACGGCAGCUUCUGGGAAUUCUGAAGGGUGGGCUGGAGGUUCUGGGUCUUGGGAGUACCCGCUCCUUUGCUCCCAUUCGUAUUGAGAUGUGGUGACUUGAAGUUGGUACUCCCAGGGUAGUCACUGAAGACACAUGUACAUGUUUUUUCUGUGACUGUUGGCUGUUCCAAACUCAGUCCCUACACUUUCCCUUGCUGGGUUAGGCUGCAGUUUCUGUGUUUCUCUUACCUACUGUUUCAUGUCCUGUCAAAAGCUAGAAGCUGGAUUUGAGGGAUGUUUGUCUGUUUCUUUCCCACUUGAUAACGUGGUCUAUGGUGGGUACCAUAUCUCUGACCUUAGAAGUGGGCAGUCAGCAAUCUCAUUAUCUGCACUGCAAAGGGGCUCAGGGAUCCCCAGCUCUCAAGAGAUCUUCUGACCACGAUUGAUGAAACUUUUGUGGGACUUAGACUUGAGUAUUUCCCAGGGAGGUAAAGGUUAGGUGGAAUCAAGCCUGGAACUAUGAGGUGAUAUCUCUAAGGAAGGGAUUUGGGGAAGAGUGAGCAAUUCCAUUCCAGAAGGUUGGCAUCACCUCUUUCUUCAUCUACUUCUUUAGGAGACUAGGUUUCUGUGCUGUUAGAAAGUUGGGUCAAAUAGCCAGGCACUUGGGCAGGGCGUGAGUAGAGAAAAGGCAGCUGGAUUACCAAGGGACAGGAGUCCCCUCCUCCCAUGUAUUUUAAAUGGUCUGCUGACCUCCUUAGGCCCUCAUAGAUAGGAGCUUAUUGCAUUUUCUCUUAUUUUACUUCCUCCUUUUUCCUUUUUAUUCUACUGUAUUUUAUAACUACAUUUCUUCUUAAUUACAAAAGUAAUAUGUACAUAUUUUAAAAUAUUCAGGCUAUACAGAAGUGCAAAUCUUCCCACACAUACCUCACUCAUUAUAUUUCAUUCUGAAAGGUCAGAGAUAAGAGACAGCAGAUCAGAAUAAUCUUGCUUCACUUUGGGGGAUGUGCCACCAAACGCAAUUAUGUUUUCAUGUUCUCACCAAACUCUGGUUUCUCAUUCUUUUCUCAGUGUUCCCUUCUGGGAUGAUACUCUGAUUUAUUGUGCUCCUUUCAGGGUCAUUUUGUCUUGCUUCUAUCAAGUUCAACCGAUAGAGAGCUCUACUCUGGGUUAUCUCUCACCUCCUUAAAUACACCCCCCUCCCCCCGAGUUGUGCACUGAGUAUCCUAGGAAAUGUCCAGAUAGAUGGCCAAAACUUUUUUCUCUUUUAUGGGCAGAAAAGAAAUGUUUGUUUGGGAGAAUUAUUGGCAUCUCUGCUAAAGUGAGGAAUUUGAGAUCUCUAUCUUCUGGUCCAUGGUCUCUGCAUGCUCAGAUUAUAUGACUGUCCUUUCAUUAUCCCAAAAGAAGAUGAUGAUUCUCCUAAGGAGCAGCCGUAUCUGUCGUUCUGUAGUGAUAGAAGCUCCCAAGUUUCUCUGGGUUUGAAAUUGGUUUUCCUCUAAACCUCAGUACAACUGGGACAUUUCCUACUACCACCUUAUUAAUUGAAUUUGUCCUUCUUGGCUUUAGAAACCCUCUAAUGUGCCCAGCCUUUGUACAGUGCUCUCAGUAACCUCGAUGUUGUCCCCCAAAAGCUUUUAUUUUCUCUCCUGCAAAGCCAGUCCUAGAAAUAUUGUGUAGAUGUGUGUGUGUGUGUGUGUGUGUGUGUGUGUUCUUAAUCUUCUCUAGGCUUUGCCAUUUUCUACAUCUUGUUGGUAUCCUAUCUCUUUCUUCUGUACAUCCCUUUUGUCUUUUCCACCUUCUCCUUAAUCAAAUCCUACCUUCAAGAAAUGAUCUGGAAUUGCUCCAUAUUAAGGUGGAAGUAACAAAUAGUCACUUAAAGUAUUAAUUCUUCCAAGAGUUUUUGCUCCUUAAGAGGGAAGAGAGCUAAGGAGUGGAAUUAUCAAUAUGGAAUUUCAAACAUAGAUCUGGAGUUACAAAACUAUGUUUGGUGAAGAGAGUUUUCCCAUCGCCCUUGAAGUCACACCUCAUAUCUUCUAACUCUUACUUUGCCCACGAGCAAGGAUUGCUCUUCUAUGGUUUGCUUGUUUGUGUGCACUGAUAGGAAUUUGACUUGUGAGGAGGCACAGGGUGGGAGAAGCAAGCGUCUGGCCUGCUCUCUAAUACUAAGGCAUUUCAGAUUGGAAAGUAAUUAAAGUGUGAGUCAAUGAACUUAAAAUAAGGAAAUGCAGCAGGCAUCUAGGAAGAGGGAUACCUUAAAACCCUAUACAAUACACUCCCACUUCCCAAGAGUGUUUUAGGAACAAUUUAGUCAUUGACUGAACAGUAACUGAGCUGAGUCAGGAGCCUAGGUGAGCACAGCGUGUGCAGAUUUCUGGGUCCAGGCUGUAGCUUCUGUUUAGGGGCAGUGGGUAUCUUUUCAGAGUGUCCUUUCGCUCUGUGGUGAUUUGAUUUUUUUUUUUUUAACUUGUGUUUCUCAAGUUCAGGAAUUAAUAGAAAUAAUGACCCAAAGUUUUUUAAACAUUUAACAUCAACUGAAAAUUCAGAGAACUUAGUUUUUUCAGCCACAGUUGCUUCAGUCUUAGGGUGGAAGGGCCACAUAUUGGGUGUGAUUAGGCCAUCUGAGGCAAAGUAACAGGUGACAGGAAAAGCAGUCAGCUCAUGUGAGUUGCAACAGUACCUUGUGGGCUGGGUCCCAAGAGGGCCCUUCGUCCAAGGGAGAUCACAAAGACGAAAGGAAGAGAUUUGGUUCUCUGAGGCCUAUUAAAAACAUUCCCAAAUGGAACUGGAGAAACUCUCCACUCCCUCUGCAGACACUGCCGCCGUACUUCCCAGUGAAAUGAUAAUCACUUCCCAGCAAGGAGAUGAGCUUGUUGUGUCCCAAACCUUCAUGUCAGGUUCAGGUGCCCACUUUCCACGCUUGCACAGAUGCAUCACUGCAGCCACUGUCCUGGCAGCAGGUGUAGAGUUGGGAAGUAACCACUGUUACCAGGAGCCGGCCCCGUGUCCAAGUGAUUAAGUUCAUGGGCUCCGCUGCGGCGGGCCAGGGUUUCGCCAGUUCGGAUCCUGGGCACGGACAUGGCACCACUCGUCAGCCCACAUUGAGGCGGUG